UGGGAUUACAGGCAUGAGCCACCGCGCCCAGCCUGUCCGCAUUAUUUAACUGACUGGUUCUAAGGAUAAGUUCUGAUUUCAAAGGAUACAAACAAAUAGAGCUAGAAGUUCUAUUUUUGCCCUUGCAAUUCUGGUCAGAGAACUAUGGAGAGGAUAGCCACAUAAAGAAUUCUUGCAGCACAGCCACGAAAGGUUUCCCCCAAAUUAUUUGGUGACAACAGCAAACCUGCCUCCUUCAAAACCUCUUACUCUCUACCAACUCUUCAAUUACCCUUCAAUAACAUUACCCUACCUGGUCUUAAAAAAAAAAAAAAA